rnacentral:rRNA from 1 species
CGCGGGGGCAACCCUGGCGACGAGAGGCGGACGGGUGAGGAACGCUUGGGAAUCUGCCUAUCAGCGGGGGACAACCCGGGGAAACCCGGGCUAAUACCGCAUACGCUCUACGGAGGAAAGCCGGGGACCGCAAGGCCUGGCACUGAUAGAUGAGCCCAAGCCGGAUUAGCUGGUUGGCGGGGUAACGGCCCACCAAGGCGACGAUCCGUAGCUGGUCUGAGAGGACGAUCAGCCACACCGGAACUGAGACACGGUCCGGACUCCUACGGGAGGCAGCAGUGGGGAAUAUUGGACAAUGGGCGAAAGCCUGAUCCAGCGACGCCGCGUGGGUGAAGAAGGCCUGCGGG